rnacentral:rRNA from 1 species
GACGAACGCUGGCGGCGUGCUUAACACAUGCAAGUCGAACGGUGAUGCUCCAGCUUGCUGGGGUGGAUAAGUGGCGAACGGGUGAGUAAACCGUGAGCAACCUGCCCCAGACUCUGGAAUAAGCGCUGGAAACGGCGCCUAAUACUGGAUACGAAACUGGCCCGCAUGGGCAUGGUUUGGAAAGUUUGGCGGUUUGGGAUGGGCUCGCGGCCUAUCAGCUUGUUGGUGGGGUAGUGGCUCACCAAGGCGACGACGGGUAGCCGGCCUGAGAGGGCGACCGGCCACACUGGGACUGAGACACGGCCCAGACUCCUACGGGAGGCAGCAGUGGGGAAUAUUGCACAAUGGGCGGAAGCCUGAUGCAGCGACGCCGCGUGCGGGAUGACGGCCUUCGGGUUGUAAACCGCUUUCAGCAGGGAAGAAGCGAGAGUGACGGUACCUGCAGAAGAAGCACCGGCUAACUACGUG